rnacentral:rRNA from 1 species
GACGAACGCUGGCGGCGUGCUUAACACAUGCAAGUCGAGCGGUAAGGCCCUUUCGGGGGUACGACGAGCGGCGAACGGGUGAGUAACACGUGGGUGACCUGCCCUCAGCUCUGGGAUAAGCCUGGGAAACUGGGUCUAAUACUGGAUAUGACUCCACGGUGCAUGUCGUGGGGUGGAAAGCCUUGUGCGGCUGAGGAUGGGCCCGCGGCCUAUCAGCUUGUUGGUGGGGUGANGGCCUACCAAGGCGACGACGGGUAGCCGGCCUGAGAGGGCGACCGGCCACACUGGGACUGAGACACGGCCCAGACUCCUACGGGAGGCAGCAGUGGGGAAUCUUGCGCAAUGGGCGAAAG